rnacentral:pre_miRNA from 1 species
AAAGUUCUCCCUCCGUCCCAUAAUUCUUGUCUUAGAUUUGUCUAGAUACGGAUGUAUCAAGUCACAUUUUAGUAUUAGAUACAUCAGUAUCUAGACAAAUCUAAGACAAGAAAUUUGGGACAGAGGGAGUAGUUG